GCAAGGGUUCCCGAGUGGUCAAAGGGGCAAGGUUUAGGACCUUGUAGCGUAAGCUUUCGCAGGUUCAAAUCCUGCUCCUUGCA
rnacentral:tRNA from 10 species